AGUGAACGCUGGCGGUUGGCCUAACACAUGCAAGUCGAACGGCAGCACAGUAAGAGCUUGCUCUUACGGGUGGCGAGUGGCGGACGGGUGAGGAAUACAUCGGAAUCUACUUUUUCGUGGGGGUUAACGUAGGGAAACUUACGCUAAUACCGCAUACGACCUACGGGUGAAAGCAGGGGAUCUUCGGACCUUGCGCGAUUGAAUGAGCCGAUGUCGGAUUAGCUAGUUGGCGGGGUAAAGGCCCACCAAGGCGACGAUCCGUAGCUGGUCUGAGAGAAUGAUUAGCCACACUGGAACUGAGACACGGACCAGACUCCUCGGGGAGGCAGCAGUGGGGAAUAUUGGACAAUGGGCGCAAGCCUGAUCCAGCCAUAACGCGUGGGUGAAGAAGGCCUUCGGGUUGUAAAGCCCUUUUGUUGGGAAAGAAAAGCAGCAGGUUAAUACCCCGAUGUUCUGACGGUACCCAAAGAAUAAGCACCGGCUAACUUCGUG
rnacentral:rRNA from 1 species